rnacentral:SRP_RNA from 1 species
GCCGGGCGUGGUAGCGCGCGCCUGUAAUCCCAGCUACUCAGGAGGCUGAGGCAGGAGAAUCGCUUGAACCCGGGAGGCGGAGGUUGCAGUGAGCCGAGAUCGCGCCACUGCACUCCAGCCUGGGCGACAGAGCGAGACUCCGUCUCAG